rnacentral:rRNA from 1 species
UUAGAUGCGAGAGUAGAGCAUAUCAAUAAGCGGAGGAAAAGAAACUAACAAGGAUUCCCUUAGUAACGGCGAGUGAAGCGGGAAGAGCUCAAAUUUGAAAUCUUCAAGGGUUUCCCUUGACGAAUUGUAGUUUAAAGAAGUGUUUUCUGUUAGAGAGGUGGUAAAAGUUCUUUGGAAUAGGACAUCAUAGAGGGUGAGAAUCCCGCAUUUGAUCACUUUCUACUAACGUUGUGAUACACUUUCAAAGAGUCGGAUUGUUUGGGAAUGCAGUCCAAAAUGGGUGGUAAAUUUCAUCUAAAGCUAAAUAUUGGCGAGAGACCGAUAGCGAACAAGUACCGUGAGGGAAAGAUGAAAAGAACUUUGAAAAGAGAGUUAAACAGUACGUGAAAUUGUCAAAAGGGAAGCGUUUGACACCAGUGUUGUUUUUCCGAAAAUCAAUUACGAAUGUUUUAUUUUUGAGGAGUUAUGACUUCAUCGGCUUGCUUCUCUCUUUACUGAAACUUUCUUAAUGCACUUUUCGGUUAACAAGUCAACAUCAAUUUCUUUUGUUGUAAAAGGGUAUGAGGAAGGUGGCUUUCUUUUCGGAGAAAGUGUUUAUAGCCUUGUACCUCUGCAAUCGGAGAGAUUGAGGUCUGCAGCGUAGAUCCUUCGGGGUUAGAUACAUUUGUGCUAAGUUAUAGCUUUUCAUAGACAACUUGUUGACUAUGUUAAGUCUUGUAGCUUACUCGCUUAUGCUAUUUUACCUACGCUUAGGAUGUUGACGAGACUGUCGAUCUC